AUUGAACGCUGGCGGCAUGCUUUACACAUGCAAGUCGAACGGUAACAGGCCUUCGGGUGCUGACGAGUGGUGAACGGGUGAGUAAUGCAUCGGAACGUGCCCAGAGGUGGGGGAUAACGCAGCGAAAGCUGUGCUAAUACCGCAUGUGAUCUGAGGAUGAAAGCGGGGGACCAGGCAGCAAUGUUUGGCCUCGCGCCUUUGGAGCGGCCGAUGUCAGAUUAGGUAGUUGGUGGGGUAAAGGCCUACCAAGCCGACGAUCUGUAGCUGGUCUGAGAUGACGACCAGCCACACUGGGACUGAGACACGGCCCAGACUCCUACGGGAGGCAGCAGUGGGGAAUUUUGGACAAUGGGCGCAAGCCUGAUCCAGCAAUGCCGCGUGCGGGAAGAAGGCCUUCGGGUUGUAAACCGCUUUUGUACGGAACGAAAAGGCUCUGGCUAAUACCUGGGGCUGAUGACGGUACCGUAAGAAUAAGCACCGGCUAACUACGUG
rnacentral:rRNA from 1 species